rfam:Myotis lucifugus cont2.11387, whole genome shotgun sequence.
GCAGCCAUGGCUCAGUGGUUGAGUGUCAGCCUGUGAACCAGGAAGUCACGGUUCGAUUCCCCGUGGGGGCA